rnacentral:rRNA from 1 species
UAAGAGCUGGAAGCACAUAGCUUAAACUCCGUGCCAAGGAAGAGUUUCCGACUAUCAGGUAGUAGUCAGGGUAAUGACCUGACUAGCCUACGACUGAUACGGGUUGUGAGAGCAAUAACCCGGAGACGAUAUCUGAGACACGAUAUCGGGCCCUACGGGGCGCAGCAGGCGCGAAACCUUCACACUGUGCGAAAGCGCGAUGAGGGGAUCCCAAGUGCUUGCUCUUAGGAGUAAGCUGUUUCUCUGUUUAAAACGCAGGGAGAGGAAGGGCUGGGUAAGACGGGUGCCAGCCGCCGCGGUAAUACCUGCAGCUCAAGUGGUGACCGCUAUUAUUGGGCCUAAAACGUUCGUAGCCGGCUGAGUAAAUGCCUGGGUAAAUCGUGCCGCUUAACGGUACGAAUUCCGGGUAGACUGCUUAGCUUGAGACCGGGAGAAGCUAGAGGUACUCCUGGGGUAGGGGUGAAAUCCUGUAAUCCUGGGGGGACCACCAGUGGCGAAGGCGUCUAGCUAGAACGGGUCUGACGGUGAGGAACGAAACCCUGGGGCGCAAACCGGAUUAGAUACCCGGGUAGUCCAGGGCGCAAACGCUGCUUGCUUGAUGUUAGCUGGGCUCCGAGCUCAGCUAGUGUCGGAGUGAAGAUGUUAAGCAAGCUGCCUGGGAAGUACGAUCGCAAGAUUGAAACUCAAAGGAAU